UACGGAGGGUGCAAGCGUUAUCCGGAUUUACUGGGUUUAAAGGGUGCGUAGGCGGGCCCUUAAGUCAGUGGUGAAAGCUCCGAGCUUAACUCGGAAACUGCCAUUGAUACUAUAGGUCUUGAAUUCGGUCGAGGUUGGCGGAAUGUGUCGUGUAGCGGUGAAAUGCGUAGAGAUGUGGAGGACUACCGAUGGCGAAGGCAGCCCCCUGGGAUAACACUGACGCUCAUGCACGAAAGCGUGGGGAGCAAACAGG
rnacentral:rRNA from 1 species